AUCGAACGCUGGCGGCAGGCCUAACACAUGCAAGUCGAACGAGUGGCGGACGGGUGAGUAAUGUCUGGGAAACUGCCCGAUGGAGGGGGAUAACUACUGGAAACGGUAGCUACUACCGCAUACCAUCGGAUGUGCCCAGGUGGGAUUAGCUAGUAGGUGGGGUAAAGGCUCACCUAGGCGACGAUCCCUAGCUGGUCUGAGAGGAUGACCAGCCACACUGGAACUGAGACACGGCCCAGACUCCUACGGGAGGCAGCAGUGGGGAAUAUUGCACAAUGGGCGCAAGCCUGAUGCAGCCAGGCCGCGUGGAUGAAGAAGGCCUUCGGGUUGUAAAGUACUUUCAGCGGGGAGGCGUUACCCGCAGAAGAAGCACCGGCUAACUCCGUGCCAGCAGCCGCGGUAAUUC
rnacentral:rRNA from 1 species